rnacentral:lncRNA from 1 species
UGUUGUUUUUCCCUUUCUUCUUCUUUUAAGACUUGGCAGGUUCUUGGAAGAAAUGCCCAGGAAGAGAGUGUUCUGAGGCUCCUGUACCUUUCUGAGGAAGCUGUCUUCCCACACUGAAGUCACAAACUAGGGAGCUUUCAAACUACCUGUGUUUGCUCACCUCUCAGCAUGGGGAAGAAGCAUGAGGAAAGUGAUGGAAUCGAUCGCGGCUUUGCUGUGUCUGCCUUGUUUUUCUGGAGUUAUUGAAGAAAAGAGCACUUUGCCAAAACGAAACAAGACACAGACCACUUCUUUGAACCUGAGAACUCUCCAGUGCCCAAAUAUGAUUAAAACCCAUCUCGGC